ACAUCAGCCAGAGUAAGGCCCGAAAUCCCAGUAAAAGGCAGUUUUGACCCCCACAUUUACAUAGAUGCCAUUGGGGUGCCUAGGGGGGUACCUAAUGAAUUUAAAGCUAGAGAUGAAGUAGCUGUAGGUUUUGAAUCACUUUUUACCAUAGUCACUGCCAACAAAAACCUUAAUUGGAUUAAUUAUAUCUAUUACAACCAACAGCGCUUCGUGAACUACACCAGGGAUGCCCUCCAGGGCUUGGCCGAGCAAUUACAGGCCACAUCCCAAAUGACCUUCCAGAACAGACUGGCCUUAGACAUGAUCUUAGCCGAAAAAGGGGGGAGUCUGUAAAAUACUUCCCGACACUAUGACUUGUUGCACUUACAUUCCAGAAAACACAGGUCCUAAUGGUAAAGUCACUCUGGCCAUAGCUAAAUUAAAUAGACUCUCAGAAGAGUUAAAGAGAAACUCUGGAGUUACUGAUCCCUGGGAAAAAUGGUUUGGUUGGAUGACUGGUUGGCAGAGAGCUUUAGUCCAG